AAAGAGAGAGAAGCUUUUAUCUCUCUCUUCUUCUGUUUAUAAGGCCACUGAUCCUAUCAGAUUAGGAUCCUACCUUCAUGAUCUCAUUUAACCUUAAUUACCUCCCAAAAGUUCAGUCUCCAAAUAUAGUCACAUUGGGGGUUAGGG